UACAGAGGUCUCAAGCGUUGUUCGGAUUCAUUGGGCGUAAAGGGUGCGUAGGCGGCGCGGUAAGUCGGGUGUGAAAGCCCUGGGCUCAACCCAGGAAGUGCACUCGAUACUGCGAGGCUAGAGUAUCGGAGAGGUUGGUGGAAUUCUCGGUGUAGAGGUGAAAUUCGUAGAUAUCGAGAGGAACACCGGUGGCGAAGGCGGCCAACUGGACGAAUACUGACGCUGAGACUCGAAAGCGUGGGGAGCAAACAGG
rnacentral:rRNA from 1 species